CCGCUCAUACGCAUUUAAAACGUUGCUUUGUGGAACGUCACAUCAUAAAAUAAAGCACUACGUUUCGCACGUAUUAAAUGUGGGUUUUGCCUUAGACGGCGCCUGUUUUUUGGGAAAAAGCAGUGAGACAGGAUAACGAUAAUAUAACGCGCGCUCCUGGGAAAAAAGCAGUGGGACGGUAUAACGAUAAUAUAUUUUGAGUUCAUUGCAAAUUCUUUACAUAUACAUUGCGAAUUGAAGAGUACGAGGAAGCAUAGGCCAUUUCCAUUUGCCGGUUUAAAGAUAUCGAUAUUUCAGUGACGAGUGCAUUCACUUUAUCUUCUUUAAAAGAUGGCAGAACAAAAGUGGAAAUCACCAUUGUCAUUAGCUUUUAGUGCAAAAUGUUGAUUCGAGUAUUAGCGGAGGCUUGAAGAUAAAACCUUUACAUUUGAUAUUUUCCGGGUUAAUUGCUGUUAACAUUUGCUUUUGAACUAUUUAUUCUGUAUGUACAUCCUCCAUAUCAAAUGUUAGCUGACGUUAUAUCCA